AUAACUAAAUCGUCCCAAAAAAAGAAACACAAAGCAACAAGCACAUCAAAAAAGUAAUAACAAGAAAAAACCGAGAAGCGAAACGCCAAAAUAAUUCAAAACAAAUUCUUAAAAAUGGAAUCAUCAAAGAAGCUUGUUGCAGUGUUUCUUGUGUGCAUGGUUAUGUUAUCUUCUGUGCAUGUUUCAAAGGCUCAUGAACAAGAAAAAAGUAACGCAGAAAUGUUUAAAGAAUCUGUUGCGAGGGUUACCGCUGAAUAUACAAUUUGCUUCAACGAAUGUGAAAAGGAAUGUAUUGAUCAAGGUCUUGGAUACACUCAUUGUGAGAUGAAGUGUGACAGCGACUGCAAUGCCAAGUUGCUAAAAGAGAAAUUCGAGCAAUUGAAGAAUUUGAAGCCUUGAAGAUGGACCAAAAGAUGCAAAAAUAGCAAAUAUUUAUGGAAAAAAUAAUAAAAUAGUGGCUUUUCAUUUCUACUAAUUAAUUAAUUCAUUCAUUCAUUUCUUUGCCACUGUACUUGUAAUUUUCAUGAAUUAACAAUAUUUUUGCUUUUUCAAGUCAACCGCAACAAAUUUCUAAAUUUUAUUUCAUAUCUUUUUAAUCUUCUUGUAAUGAAAAGAUCGGUCAUUUUAA